AUUGAACGCUGGCGGCAUGCCUUACACAUGCAAGUCGAACGGUAACAGGUCUUUCGGGAUGCUGACGAGUGGCGAACGGGUGAGUAAUACAUCGGAACGUGCCUAGUAGUGGGGGAUAACUACUCGAAAGAGUGGCUAAUACCGCAUGAGAUCUAUGGAUGAAAGCAGGGGACCUUCGGGGCUUUUGACUCGAGCAAGGACGUUGGCGGAUUAGGUAGUUGGUGGGAUAAAAUCUUACCAAGCCUGCGAUCUGUAGCUGGUCUGAGAGGACGAUCAGCCACACUGGGACUGAGACACGGCCCAGACUCCUACGGGGGGCAGCAGUGGGGAAUUUUGGACAAUGGGGGAAACCCUGAUCCAGCAAUGCCGCGUGCAGGAUGAAGGCCUUCGGGUUGUAAACUGCUUUUGUACGGAACGAAAAGUCUUGGGUUAAUACCCUGGGAUCAUGACGGUACCGUAAGAAUAAGCACCGGCUAACUACGUGCCAGCAGCCGCCGUAAUAC
rnacentral:rRNA from 1 species